rnacentral:misc_RNA from 1 species
GGAAGUAAAAGUUGUAACAAGGUUUCCGUAGGUGGACCUGCGGAAGGAUCAUUAUUGUAUAACCGAGGUGCGAGGGCUGUCGCUGACCCGAAAGGUCGUGCACGCCCGAGUGCCCUCACACACAUCCAUCUCACCCCUAUGUGCACCACCGCGUGGGUCCCCCUUUGGCUUGUUCGGAGGGGGGCUUACGUUUUCACACAAACUUUGUAUGCAGUGUAGAAUGUAUUUUUUGUUUUUGCGAUCACGCAAUCAAUACAACUUUCAACAACGGAUCUCUUGGCUCUC